rnacentral:rRNA from 1 species
GAUGAACGCUGGCGGCGUGCCUAAUACAUGCAAGUCGAGCGAACGGACGAGAAGCUUGCUUCUCUGAUGUUAGCGGCGGACGGGUGAGUAACACGUGGAUAACCUACCUAUAAGACUGGGAUAACUUCGGGAAACCGUAGCUAAUACCGGAUAAUAUUUUGAACCGCAUGGUUCAAAAGUGAAAGACGGUCUUGCUGUCACUUAUAGAUGGAUCCGCGCUGCAUUAGCUAGUUGGUAAGGUAACGGCUUACCAAGGCAACGAUGCAUAGCCGACCUGAGAGGUUGAUCGGCAACACUGGAACUGAGACACGGUCCAGACUCCUACGGGAGGCAGCAGUAGGGAAUCUUCCGCAAUGGGCGAAAGCCUGACGGAGCAACGCCGCGUGAGUGAUGAAGGUCUUCGGAUCGUAAAACUCUGUUAUUAGGGAAGAACAGAUGUGUAAGUAACUGUGCACAUCUUGACGGUACCUAAGCAGAAAGCCACGGCUAACUACGU